rnacentral:rRNA from 1 species
UACGUAGGGACCAAGCGUUGUCCGGAAUCAUUGGGCGUAAAGAGCGUGUAGGCGGCUUGUUAAGUCUUGCGUGAAAUCUCGGGGCUCAACCCCGAGCGGUCGUGAGAAACUGGCAGGCUAGAGUGCGGGAGAGGAGAGUGGAAUUCCUGGUGUAGCGGUGAAAUGCGCAGAUAUCAGGAAGAACACCCGCGGCGAAGGCGGCUCUCUGGAACGCAACUGACGCUGAGACGCGAAAGCGUGGGGAGCAAACAGG